ACCGACCUCAGCUGUUGAAGAUCUACGCGCUAAACUUAAGCAUAUCACUCAGCGCAGGAAAAGAAAGCAACAGCGAUGCUCCUAGUAACGGCGAGUGAACAGGGCAGAGCCCAAGCCUGAACCGGUGUUCUACGGAUAUCCGGAAUGUGGCGCAAGCUGCUUGGGGACACAACUGGCGUCGAGGUAAGUCUCCUGGAAUGGGGUAUCCACAGAGGGUGAGAGUCCCGUAUUUCCUCGACGAGCCAUGUUGGUUAACUCCUUGCUAGCACGAGUCGCUCAGUUUGGGAAUGCUGAGCUAAUCGGCAGGUAUCCCUCUGCUAAGGCUAAAUAUCUCCCGGAGGCCGAUAGCGAACAAGUACAGUGAUGGAAAGAUGCAAAGAACUUUGAAAAGAGGGUUAAAAGUCCCUGAAACCGAUGAGUGGUAAGAGUUGGAGAUGCGUUCAAAUCUUAAUCAUUGCUCCUUCACUGGGGUUUAUGGUUGAGACGUCUGGACCUAUUCGGAUCGUCCAAGCUUCUGUUGCGAGACGGCUUGCCGGCUGCCUCAGUUUUGCUCGGAUCGACCAGGAUAGGAAUGAGUUGAGGAGGUGACCCGCGGCAUCGUCAGCGAAGGGUAAGUGUCGGCGUCUUCGGACAACGUCCUUGCUCCCGCUGGCCUGACGUGGUUAAACGCUCGCAGGCUCAUGUCAGACACAGCGAUCUUCUACUACCCGUCUUGAAACACGGACCAAGGAGUCUAACACGUGUGCGAGGCUUAGGGUGUCAAACCCACAAGCCGCACUGAAAGGGAGAUGUGCCAAUCCUUGAGGACGCAGCACAGCCCGAUCCUGAUUUACUGGAAAGGGAUUUGAGGUUAAGUACACUUGUUGGGACCCGAAAGAUGGUGAACUAUGCCUGGAUAGGACGAAGCCGGGGGAAACCCUGGUGGAGGUCCGUUGCGGUGUUGACGUGCAAAUCGCUCGUCAAAGCUGGGUAUAGGGGCGAAAGACCCAUCGAACCAUCUAGUAGCUGGUUCACUCCGAAGUUUCCCUCAGGAUAGCUAGAACCAAAACAGGAGUUACGCCAGGUAAAGCGAAUGAUUGGAGGCAUUGGGGAAAUCGCUUCCUCGACCUAUUCUCAAACUUUAAAUGGGCGUGAGCUCGGGGUUACUUCAUUGAACCCUGACGUAGAAUCCUGGUUCUAAGUGGGCCACUUCUGGUAAGCAGGACUGGCGACGCGGGAUGAACCGAGAGCUGACUUAAGGUGUCCGAGUGAUCGCUCAUCAGAUCCCACAAAGGGUGUCGGUUCAUCUUGACAGCAGGACGGUGGCCAUGGAAGUCGGCAUCCGAUAAUGAGUGUGUAACAACUCACCUGCCGAAUGCACCGGUCCCGAAAAUGGAUGAUGCUCAAGCGAUCCACCCAUAGUUGGCCGCGUACUGGUAUCACAAAGCCAGGCGUGCGUAGGAGUGCGUGGUCCACGCCGCGAAGUCGUUGGCGUGAGCCUCGAUGGAGCGUGGAUGAGUGCAGAUCUUGGUUGUAGUAGCGAAUAUUCAAUGGAGAACAUUGAAGGCCGAAGUGGAGAAGGUUUCCGUGUCAACAGCAAUUGGACAUGGGUCAGUCGGUCCUAAGGCAAGGUGUAAUUGCUCGCCUCAAAGCUGCCACUGACGAGCUUGCUCGGACGUGCAGGAUUGCCGAAAGGGAAUGCGUGAACAUUCCGCAACCCGGAUGCAGAGAUCUGAAGUGGUGACACAUUGACGAUCCUGUUGACCAUGUCCACAGGCCCCGGAUGAUGCAGUCGUCUCUUUUUGAAGGAAGGGUUGACCCUUGAAACGCUUCACGCGGGGACAGGGUUAACUAUCCUGGAAAGCUGCACUUUCUUCGUGUAGUAGGGUGUCUUGUGGAUGUGCAUGGAAAAAACAGGGGAGAUCUCAUUCUCUUGCAUCGGGCCGUACCGUUAACCGCAAUAGGUCUCCUAGGCUAAAAGCCUCUGGCCGACAGAACAAUGUAGGUAAGGGAAGUCGGCAAACUGGAUCCGUAACUUCGGGAAAAGGAUUGGCUCUGAGGACACAUGCGGGAUUGUCAGUGCGGGUCAGGUCUGGGCUCAGAUUGAAGGUGCUGUGAGUGGCGCUCUCGGGUGCUACCCGCGGCUCCUGAUUUCUUCCAGGCCUUCUUGCAUGUUGUGCCCGCAAUGAAGUGUCAGCUUGGAACUGUUACGAACAAGAGGAAUCCAACUGGUUAAUUAAACCACAGCAUUUCGCUUCAUCACAGCGGUGGCGAGUGGAAUGUGACUUCUGCCCAGUGCCCUGAAUGUCAACGCUGAGAGAUCAGGUCAAGCGCGGGUAAACGGCGGGAGUAACUAUGACUCUCUUAAGGUAGCCAAAUGCCUCGUCUUCUAAUUAAAGACGCGCAUGAAUGGACCAAUGAGAUUCCUUCUGUCCCUACCUACUAUCUGGCGAAACAGCAGUCAAGGGAACGGACUUGAAACUGUCAGCGGGGAAAGAAGACCCUGUUGAGUUUGACUCUAGUCUGACUUUGUGCAGUGACACGAGAGGUGUAGAAUAGGUGGGAGGCCGCAACAAUGAAAUACCACUACUCUUGUUGUCGCUUUACUUAUCCAAUGAUGGGAAGACGGCAGCUGCUCCCUUGUGGGGUUAGGGUCUUCGGAUCCGUAGCUUAUCCGUUUCCAGCGACAAACGGGCUUCGGCUCGCGAAUCCUCGUUUGGAGACACCAGUCAGGUGGGGAGUUUGGCUGGGGCGGCACAUCUGUUACACAUUAACGCAGGUGUCCUAAGGCAAGCUCAGCGGGAACAGAAAUCUCGCGUAGAGCAUAAGGGUAAAAGCUUGCUCGAUACACGAUCUUCAGUACCGAUCCUCGGUGUGAAAGCAUGGCCUAACGAUCCUUUGGUCUCGCUUCAUGUUCAAGGGAUGAAGCCGGAGGUGACAGAAAAAUUACCACAGGGAUAACUGGCUUGUGGCAGCCAAGCGUUCAUAGCGACGUUGCUUUUUGAUCCUUCGAUGUCGGCUCUUCCUAACCUAGACAAGCAGAAUUGUCUAAGGGUUGGAUUGUUCACCCACUAACAGGGAACGUGAGCUGGGUUUAGACCGUCGUGAGACAGGUUGGUUUUACCCUACUGAUGGAGAGAGAGCCCAUCGGGCCAGCGCAUUCCGACAGCAAUACGGGGUAGUACGAGAGGAACUCCCGUUUCUAGUCCCUGGUAUCUACGGUUGUUCGAUCGGACAGUGCCGUGAUGCUACCACUGGAUGGAUUAUGGCUGAACGCCUCUAAGCCAGAACCCAGUCUAGAGGAAUGCGUGAGUUACUCAGGGCACAUCGGAUUUAUCGGGCCACGAAUAGCUUCGGCGAACGGCAACUUCCAAAUUCACAUCCAGAUCCCGUGUCUCCAACCGGGUCUAUACGAGUCCGAAUGGACCGGCGGGCGUAACGCACUGAGGAGCCUUGUUGUUCCGAGGGUUUGAGCCUUAUGGCCGGUUCCUACGGUUAUCUCCUGGUUCGGCUCCACUC